rnacentral:pre_miRNA from 1 species
UAUGUACUCCCUCCGUUCGGAAUUACUUGUCUCGAAAAUGGAUGUAUCUAGAACUAAAAUACAUCUAGAUACAUCCAUUUCUACGACAAGUAAUUCCGAACGGAGGGAGUAGGUA